rnacentral:rRNA from 1 species
UACGUAGGUGGCAAGCGUUUGUCCGGAUUUACUGGGCGUAAAGGAUGCGUAGGCGGAUGUUUAAGUGAGAUGUGAAAUACCCGAGCUCAACUUGGGUGCUGCAUUUCAAACUGGAUAUCUAGAGUGCAGGAGAGGAAAGCGGAAUUCCUAGUGUAGCGGUGAAAUGCGUAGAGAUUAGGAAGAACACCAGUGGCGAAGGCGGCUUUCGUGG